rnacentral:rRNA from 1 species
GAAAGUUACUAAGAGCGUACGGGGGAUGCCUUGGCUCUCAGAGGCGAAGAAGGACGUGAUAAGCUGCGAGAAGCCGCGGGGAGGUGCAAAUAACCUUUGAUCCGUGGAUAUCCGAAUGGGGCAACCCAUCCGCUGCGAUGCGGAUACCCGGUGUAAACCGGGAGCUAACCCGGGGAACUGAAACAUCUCAGUACUCGGAGGAAAAGAAAACAACAGUGAUUUCCUGAGUAGUGGCGAGCGAAAAGGAACAAGCCCAAACCGCGUCUGUUUUGGCAGUUGCGGGGUUGUAGGGUCGACUUAAGGAGUAAUAUUCGAAGUGGAACGGUAUGGAAAGGCCGGCCGAAGGAGGUGACAGUCCUGUACACGUAAAGGAUAUACUCUGGUUGAUACCCUGAGUAAGGCGGGACACGCGGAAUCCUGUCUGAAUCAGCCGGGACCAUCCGGCAAGGCUAAAUACUACUGAGAGACCGAUAGAGAACAAGUACCGUGAGGGAAAGGUGAAAAGUACCCCGAACAGGGGAGUGAAAUAGUACCUGAAACCGUGCGCUUACAAGCGGUCGGAGUCUUCCUUAAGGGAGAUGACGGCGUGCCUUUUGCAUAAUGAGCCUACGAGUUAGUCGUCACCAGCGAGGUUAAGUACUUCAGGUACGGAGCCGAAGCGAAAGCGAGUCUGAAUAGGGCAUUUAGUUGGUGGCGCUAGACGCGAAACCUUGUGAUCUACCCAUGGUCAGGCUGAAGGUCCGGUAACACGGAGUGGAGGGCCGAACCAGGAAACGUUGAAAAGUUUUUGGAUGAACUGUGGGUAGGGGUGAAAGGCCAAUCAAACUGGGAAAUAGCUCGUACUCCCCGAAAUGCCUUUAGGGGCAGCCUCGGUAUAGUUUUACACAGGUAGAGCUACUGAUAGGAUGCGAGGGCUUCACCGCCUAUCAAAUCCUGACAAACUCCGAAUGGUGUAAAAUGUUUACCGGGAGUGAGGGCAUGGGUGCUAAGGUCCAUGUCCGAGAGGGAAAGAACCCAGAACAUCAGUUAAGGUCCCUGAGUGUGUACUAAGUUGAAGCUAUAACGAGGUCUGGCUGCAGCGACAGCUAGGAUGUUGGCUUGGAAGCAGCCAUUCAUUUAAAGAGUGCGUAACAGCUCACUAGUCGAGCGGCCUGGCAUGGAUAAUAAUCGGGCAUAAGUACACCACCGAAGCUAUGUAUUAGAUGUUUUACAGCAUUUACUGGUAGGGGAGCAUUCCAAACGACAGAGAAGAUAUAUUGCCAAGGUAUGUUGGAGUUUUUGGAAAAGCAAAUGUAGGCAUAAGUAACGAUAAUGCGGGUGGGAACCCCGCACGCCGAUAGACUAAGGUUUCCUGAUCAACGUUAAUCGGAUCAGGGUAAGCCGGGCCCUAAGGAGUACCCGAAGGGGGUAUCCGAUGGUAAGCAGGUUAAUAUUCCUGCGCAUAUCAUGCGAUAAAAGUGACGGAGCGAUGUAGGUGUUAGGAGCUGACGGAAUAGCUCGUAGAGCUUAGCCUUCGGGCGAAGCGAAACAUUGAAAUCACUUCCAAGAAAAGCGAGCAUGUUAUCCCGUACCGUAAACCGACACAGGUAGUCAAGGAGAGAAUCCUGAGGCGCUCGAGUGAUUCGCGGCUAAGGAACUAGGCAAAAUGACCCCGUAACUUAGGGAUAAGGGGAACCCUCCAGCGAUGGUGGGUCGCAGAGAAAUGAUCCAGGCGACUGUUUAGCAAAAACACAGGGCUAUGCUAAUUUUCAAGAAGACGUAUAUGGCCUGACACCUGCCCGGUGCCGGAAGGUUAAGAGGGGAUGUUAUCGCAAGAGAAGCAUUGAAUUGAAGCCCCGGUAAACGGCGGCCGUAACUAUAACGGUCCUAAGGUAGCGAAAUUCCUUGUCGGGUAAGUUCCGACCUGCACGAAUGGUGUAACGAUCUGGAUACUGUCUCGGCCGCGAGCUCGGUGAAAUUGUAGUAACGGUGAAGAUGCCGUUUACCCGCAACGGGACGGAAAGACCCCGUGAACCUUUACUGCAACUUCACAUUGACUCUGGGUAAGUGAUGUGUAGGAUAGGCCGGAGGCUGUGAAGCGGAUUCGCCAGGAUUCGUUGAGCCAUCCUUGAAAUACGGCCCUUUGCUUACUUGGAGCCUAAUCCCUAUCCUAGGGAGACAGUGUGUGGUGGGUAGUUUGACUGGGGUGGUCGCCUCCAAAAGCGUAACGGAGGCUCCCAAAGGUACCCUCAUGACGAUUGGUAACCGUCAGUAGAGUGUAAUGGUAUAAGGGUGCUUGACUGUGAGACCGACGGGUCGAUCAGGUGGGAAACCAGGGCAUAGUGAUCCGGUGGUUCCGAAUGGAAGGGCCAUCGCUCAAAGGAUAAAAGGUACUCCGGGGAUAACAGGCUGAUC